rnacentral:rRNA from 1 species
UACGGGGGGGGCAAGCGUUGUUCGGAAUUACUGGGCGUAAAGGGCUCGUAGGCGGCCAACUAAGUCAGACGUGAAAUCCCUCGGCUUAACCGGGGAACUGCGUCUGAUACUGGAUGGCUUGAGAUUGGGAGAGGGAUGCGGAAUUCCAGGUGUAGCGGUGAAAUGCGUAGAUAUCUGGAGGAACACCGGUGGCGAAGGCGGCGUCCUGGACCAAUACUGACACUGAAACGCGAAAGCCAGGGGAGCAAACGGG